GUCACAUGGUGGGCGCUGUGGCUGUGGCUGCGGCUGCGGCUGCGGCUGCGGCUGCAGCGGCCCCAGGUGCAAACAGACUGCCGCCGAAUGUGAGCAGCGAGGCGAGGGGUCGAGGUAGCGAGGAGUCAGGGUGGCCCGCAGUAGGAAGGCAGAAGGCGUGGAGACAGACUGGCGUUUUGCCUCAGAGGAAGAAGUGGGGUCCCCUCUCCCAUUCUGUGAGCAAGUGCCAGUUCCAGUGAUUCGUACUUUCAUGUCCGAGUUGGAAACCUUGGCCCGACGGUGUUGGACUGCACGACUUGCUGGACUCCCAAGUCCGAAGUUCCUGCGGCAGCGCUUGCUUUGUGGCGCCACCUGGAACGUAGAGAACGGUGGGGGUAAAUAAGGGGAGCCUGAAGUUUCUGCUGUGUGCUUGCGUGUUCGAAUCCCAUCGCUGAGACUUUCUUCUGCUUUGGAUCGCUUGUCCCAGGCUGACGCCGCGCUGCGACGUCUCCCCUCGUAGGAGCCUAACGCCAACCCCUGCGCCAGGCAGGGAUGGAAUCAUCAUUCUCAUUGUAUAGAUGGACACUGAGGCUCGAGAACGGAAACGACUUCUUUUGAGUUGGGUGCCCCUCCCCCCUUGCCAGGCAGCCGCCUUUCUCUGUUGCCAUAGCACAAAUCACAAGGGUAUUUAUGGUAAGCUUUAGUUGAACAGCUCCAGGUCUCCAGAAGACGGCGAACUGGAGAGGACAGAUCUGCGCUUUGCUCUCAGACCCUUGCCCCACCGCUAGCCUGGGGCAGGAUUCCAGCCUUCGCCUAGCCGGGCGCUUUGCUCUGCCGGGCUAUUGGGCGUCCUCCGCUGCACAGAAAGCCAGCCCAGUUGGGUAUUACUGGGGAGAGGAUGCCUCCUGCCGGCAGGGAGCUGGGGUGGGCGCCCGGGUGCCCCCAGUGCGUGGCGGGGCCAGGCCCAUUUUCACUCUCCUUCCUCACUCGGGGGAUGGGAGGGCUGCAUGCGCUGCUGCUCCUACUCCUCACAGUCUCGUCGAGGGUCCCGGAGACGGGAGUUUCCGGGCCGCUGGUCCAAGAGGCAAUGCCAGUUUCGGUACCUUUGUGUUUUCGUCCCCUAAGUAGUAGCUCUAGGAACCUGAGCUUUCGAAUCCCUUUGGGGUUUGUCCUAAAACUCAAAGACGUUGGAAGAGGGCGGGCAUUUGGUUAUGAGAACCUCCCAGCUCAGCCUUUGCGACCAAACCGGCAGUGCUUUUGUUCUUACUUCAUUGGCUAAUUGCAGCUUCUUGAGACAACUCUGGCUGGGUCCUUUCGCAUUGCUGGUCUCCUCAACCUGAUUUUCCCUGCGACCCCUAAGGCAGCCUCGAGGGACUCCGGGAGCCAUCAGCUCUCCGCAGCCCCUUGGGCCGGCAGGCAGACGCGACCCCUGACUCGGGAUCUGCGUCCUGGGAUUUCACAUUUUUUCUUUUCCUGCAUGGACCUGGCUAGAGGACACAAUGGGAUCACUCUUGGGGAGCUAAAACUCGGCCUGUGCAGGGAAUGGGUGGGUCCUCUGGUCUCUGCUGCCACGGCUUCCCAGCUCAGAGGUUGUCUCGGGUUUCUACCAUUUUAAAAAUUAUUAUUAUUAUUA